rnacentral:rRNA from 1 species
GUAGGUGAAGUGAUUUACUCAUGGAGCUGAAGUCAGUCGAAGAUACCAGCUGGCUGCAACUGUUUAUUAAAAACACAGCACUGUGCAAACACGAAAGUGGACGUAUACGGUGUGACGCCUGCCCGGUGCCGGAAGGUUAAUUGAUGGGGUCAGCGCAAGCGAAGCUCCUGAUCGAAGCCCCGGUAAACGGCGGCCGUAACUAUAACGGUCCUAAGGUAGCGAAAUUCCUUGUCGGGUAAGUUCCGACCUGCACGAAUGGCGUAAUGAUGGCCAGGCUGUCUCCACCCGAGACUCAGUGAAAUUGAACUCGCUGUGAAGAUGCAGUGUACCCGCGGCAAGACGGAAAGACCCCGUGAACCUUUACUAUAGCUUGACACUGAACAUUGAGCCUUGAUGUGUAGGAUAGGUGGGAGGCUUUGAAGUGUGGACGCUAGUCUGCAUGGAGCCGACCUUGAAAUACCACCCUUUAAUGUUUGAUGUUCUAACGUGGACCCGUAAUCCGGGUUGCGGACAGUGUCUGGUGGGUAGUUUGACUGGGGCGGUCUCCUCCUAAAGAGUAACGGAGGAGCACGAAGGUUGGCUAAUCCUGGUCGGACAUCAGGAGGUUAGUGCAAUGGCAUAAGCCAGCUUGACUGCGAGCGUGACGGCGCGAGCAGGUGCGAAAGCAGGUCAUAGUGAUCCGGUGGUUCUGAAUGGAAGGGCCAUCGCUCAACGGAUAAAAGGUACUCCGGGGAUAACAGGCUGAUACCGCCCAAGAGUUCAUAUCGACGGCGGUGUUUGGCACCUCGAUGUCGGCUCAUCACAUCCUGGGGCUGAAGUAGGUCCCAAGGGUAUGGCUGUUCGCCAUUUAAAGUGGUACGCGAGCUGGGUUUAGAACGUCGUGAGACAGUUCGGUCCCUAUCUGCCGUGGGCGCUGGAGAAUUGAGGGGGGCUGCUCCUAGUACGAGAGGACCGGAGUGGACGCAUCACUGGUGUUCGGGUUGUCAUGCCAAUGGCAUUGCCCGGUAGCUAAAUGCGGAAAAGAUAAGUGCUGAAAGCAUCUAAGCACGAAACUUGCCCCGAGAUGAGUUCUCCCUGAGACUUAGAGUCUCCUGAAGGAACGUUGAAGACGACGACGUUGAUAGGCCGGGUGUGUAAGCGCAGCGAUGCGUUGAGCUAACCGGUACUAAUGAACCGUGAGGCUUAACCUUACAACGCCGAAG